UUUAAAGAGAGUUUGAUCCUGGCUCAGGACGAACGCUGGCGGCGUGCCUAAUACAUGCAAGUCGAACGAACGGAGGAAGAGCUUGCUCUUCCAAAGUUAGUGGCGGACGGGUGAGUAACACGUGGGCAACCUGCCUGUAAGUUGGGGAUAACUCCGGGAAACCGGGGCUAAUACCGAAUGAUAAAGUGUGGCGCAUGCCACGCUUUUGAAAGAUGGUUUCGGCUAUCGCUUACA
rnacentral:rRNA from 1 species